rnacentral:lncRNA from 1 species
AAUUCAGCACCCUUUCUCUGCAGGUGACACCCGAGACUUCACCUCUGGUCCAGAUUCACGUCCACCGCUUCCAUCCCCAUAACUGUGAUGGUGCUGAGCAGCUCUGGCCUGCAGCUUGAACAUGAGUUCACCUGUCAAAAGAAUUAUUGGCUGGACAUGAAUCAAGGCGGUAGAGAAGGCAAGCAAAGAAAACCAUAGCCAAAUGUUUAGGUAAGUUAAGAUUAAUUGAUGCC